AAACCAAGACGGGAUUCGAACCCGCAAUCUUCAGAUUCGAAGUCUGACGCCUUAUCCGUUAGGCCACGUGGUC
rnacentral:tRNA from 1 species